rnacentral:rRNA from 1 species
AUUGAACGCUGGCGGCAGGCCUAACACAUGCAAGUCGAACGGUAACAGGAAGCAGCUUGCUGCUUCGCUGACGAGUGGCGGACGGGUGAGGAAUGUCUGGGAAACUGCCUGAUGGAGGGGGAUAACUACUGGAAACGGUAGCUAAUACCGCAUAACGUCGCAAGACCAAAGAGGGGGACCUUAGGGCCUCUUGCCAUCGGAUGUGCCCAGAUGGGAUUAGCUAGUAGGUGGGGUAACGGCUCACCUAGGCGACGAUCCCUAGCUGGUCUGAGAGGAUGACCAGCCACACUGGAACUGAGACACGGUCCAGACUCCUACGGGAGGCAGCAGUGGGGAAUAUUGCACAAUGGGCGCAAGCCUGAUGCAGCCAUGCCGCGUGUAUGAAGAAGGCCUUCGGGUUGUAAAGUACUUUCAGCGGGGAGGAAGGGAGUAAAGUUAAUACCUUUGCUCAUUGACGUUACCCGCAGAAGAAGCGCCGGCUAACUCCGUG